UCCUUACUAAAAAAACGCGCCCCGAACGCCCGGGCGUACGCCCCAAAUUGCGGGGCGUACGCCUCUUGAGACUUUCGUCCCACACCAUCGCCCGGAGCGUUUUUGGUAUGCCUCGCCCCGGGCUCGCCCCAGAAACGCCUUUUAAAACAGAGGUUCAGAUAUGAUACAAUUGAGAAGCUAAAAUUGGGGGUGGUGCAGUAGUCUUUAAAUGGUUCUUCUUAUUGGUUUUAAUUCACAUUUCCUUAUUCUACUAGUAUUUUAGUUUAGUUCUCAUCUUCUUUAAGUGGCUUGGAUGUUAUGUGCUAGAUGCCUUAUUCUGUUGAUUGCUUUUAGUUGGAUAUGAAAUUAUUUGAAUGAACGUUGAUUGAUAUGGGCCGUGGGGAUUAGCUAUUAAAUCUUGACUUGCAUGAUCAGGAAUUGGGCUGGGUUAAAUACAUGAACAAAGAACAUGAGUAUGAAAUAAGUUUCCUUUUUUCUACUUUAUUUUUAUUUUUUUAUUAUAUUAUUCCGCUAGUAGCAUAUUUAGGCCGACCACACCUGAGUAGGCAAACUUUAGGUCUUUUCUUUUACUCAAGGUGAGAGGUUGUCCCUUUAGUUUAUUAUUUAUCCGGGGAAUGCCCGUAGUACUUGGAGGCCAAAGACGGGACGACACUGAAGAGGCGUAGAAUUUUUGUUUUUAUUUUUCUCUUAUUUUCUUUUUUCACGUGGGGACAACCUUGAACCUUCUUUGUGUUUGUUUUUUCCUUUUUGUGUGUUUUACCUCCAUUAGAGUAUUGCUAAAAGCCAAUUAGAUCAAGUAUGCAACCGUACUAGGUACGGGACUCGGGAACGCCUAACACCUUCUCCCCGAGUCGAAUGAACCUCCUUUCUUGGAAUUUCUGUUGCAGACUAUGUUUAAGAGUCAAAACGUAUUUUAAAAGGAAAAAUUAUUUUUUGUUAAAACGGUGACUUGGCACACCGAAACCAAAUGUCAAGUGGCUACUCUCAAAGUCCUUUAAAACACAAUUUUUGUCACUUUCAAUUUAAAAACCCUUUUGAUCUUCAAAAACCACUUUAUUAUUUAUUUUAAAGAGGGUUAGGGUGAAAAAAGGGGUGUGACAUGACGAACAUGUAAGCAGUAUUUUUUUGAGGAUUUGCGUCUUUAUCUUCAAAUUCUAUACGCUAUAUUUGUCGUGUCAUCGCUGACUCUAGAAGGUACAUAAACUUCUAAUGGCUAUUCUGGAAUUACAUGUGUCUUUGGCUCUUUUCAUUAAUUGAUUAUGCAAUGCACGCUCUCUUUUUAAUAUUGGUGUCAAAUUUGCUGUUCCUGUCCAAAUUGCCUCAAUGGACAUUCUCUGACCCCCACAGUUAAGAAACCCAAAUUUAUUGAAAGCUAUUGUAGAGUUCUUGAGCCUUUCUCGCUUUUGUUAACUGAUUUUGCACAUACAUGUAUUUAUUGACUAUUUUGUGUCCAUUUUUUAGCAGUCAAUGGUAUUAAGAAGAACUCAAUGAGAAUAGAGAAGGGCUUUGUGAACAAAAUUAUUGAAAGGAUUGAAUAUAGUUGCUGGUGUUGGUGAAAUACACAAAUAAAGAGACUACGGUUUUUCUAUGAGUACUUUUGCCACCAGUGAAGGCCAUUGCAGGAUCUGCUAUCAAAAUUUGCUUACAUCCUCUCUAUUGUUUUCCUCCAGGGCAUUAGGCCAUUAACAGAGCUCGACAAUCCAAUCUAUAAAGGAUGAUUACUUCAUGUUAUGCCAGCAAUCCAGAAAUUUUCUAUAGAGAAAACAGACCAGCAUUAGCAGCGGAACUUGGGGCGAAACACAUCAAAGUUUUUCUUUGUAACAACAGUUCGCCAAGAGGCAGAAACAGCACCAAAAGCAAUGAAAUCUUCAAUCACUUUAACACGCUUUGCAAUCAGAGCAAGGAGGCCGUGUGGUAGUUCUGCGAAGGAACAAGGCUGUAAUACUAAUACAGGUUUUCAAGGGAAGGGGAAAAAAGAAGGCAACGUCUGUUAUAUAUAUAUAUAUAUAUAUAUGUAGGUGGUGUAACAAAAGGCAUAUUAUAUUCCGAUUUUGACUAGAACUUGGAAUGGAUUUAAGUUAGAACCUUCGAAGUUAAAAUCCUUAUUUUCGUCCAUAAAGUUUCACUUCGAAGAGGUGUACCAUACGUAGUACAAUACUUUUUAAGAACAAUCAAGCUAUAAGAUAAAUGCAAUAA